ACGAACGCUGGCGGCGUGGAUAAGACAUGCAAGUCGAACGAGAGAAUUGCUAGCUUGCUAAUAAUUCUCUAGUGGCGCACGGGUGAGUAACACGUGAGUAACCUGCCCCCGAGAGCGGGAUAGCCCUGGGAAACUGGGAUUAAUACCGCAUAGUAUCGAAAGAUUAAAGCAGCAAUGCGCUUGGGGAUGGGCUCGCGGCCUAUUAGUUAGUUGGUGAGGUAACGGCUCACCAAGGCGAUGACGGGUAGCCGGUCUGAGAGGAUGUCCGGCCACACUGGAACUGAGACACGGUCCAGACACCUACGGGUGGCAGCAGUCGAGAAUCGUUCACAAUGGGGGAAACCCUGAUGGUGCGACGCCGCGUGGGGGAAUGAAGGUCUUCGGAUUGUAAACCCCUGUCAUGUGGGAGCAAAUUAAAAAGAUAGUACCACAAGAGGAAGAGACGGCUAACUCUGUGCCAGCAGCCGCGGUAAUACAGAGGUCUCAAGCGUUGUUCGGAAUCACUGGGCGUAAAGCGUGCGUAGGCUGUUUCGUAAGUCGUGUGUGAAAGGCGCGGGCUCAACCCGCGGACGGCACAUGAUACUGCGAGACUAGAGUAAUGGAGGGGGAACCGGAAUUCUCGGUGUAGCAGUGAAAUGCGUAGAUAUCGAGAGGAACACUCGUGGCGAAGGCGGGUUCCUGGACAUUAACUGACGCUGAGGCACGAAGGCCAGGGGAGCGAAAGGGAUUAGAUACCCCUGUAGUCCUGGCAGUAAACGGUGCACGCUUGGUGUGCGGGGAAUCGACCCCCUGCGUGCCGGAGCUAACGCGUUAAGCGUGCCGCCUGGGGAGUACGGUCGCAAGAUUAAAACUCAAAGAAAUUGACGGGGACCCGCACAAGCGGUGGAGUAUGUGGCUUAAUUCGAUGCAACGCGAAGAACCUUACCUGGGCUUGACAUGUAAUGAACAACAUGUGAAAGCAUGCGACUCUUCGGAGGCGUUACACAGGUGCUGCAUGGCCGUCGUCAGCUCGUGUCGUGAGAUGUUUGGUUAAGUCCAGCAACGAGCGCAACCCCUGUUGCCAGUUACCAGCACGUGAAGGUGGGGACUCUGGCGAGACUGCCCAGAUCAACUGGGAGGAAGGUGGGGACGACGUCAGGUCAGUAUGGCCCUUAUGCCCAGGGCUGCACACGUACUACAAUGCCCAGUACAGAGGGGGCCGAAGCCGCGAGGCGGAGGAAAUCCUAAAAACUGGGCCCAGUUCGGACUGUAGGCUGCAACCCGCCUACACGAAGCCGGAAUCGCUAGUAAUGGCGCAUCAGCUACGGCGCCGUGAAUACGUUCCCGGGUCUUGUACACACCGCCCGUCACAUCAUGGAAGCCGGUCGCACCCGAAGUAUCUGAAGCCAACCGCAAGGAGGCAGGGUCCUAAGGUGAGACUGGUAACUGGGGUG
rnacentral:rRNA from 1 species